CUCGUAGGCGGUAUGUUGCGUCCGCGGUGAAAUCUCGGGGCUUAACCCCGAGCCUGCCGUGGAUACGGGCAGACUAGAGGUAGGUAGGGGAGAAUGGAAUUCCUGGUGUAGCGGUGAAAUGCGCAGAUAUCAGGAGGAACACCGGUGGCGAAGGCGGUUCUCUGGGCCUUACCUGACGCUGAGGAGCGAAAGCGUGGGGAGCGAACA
rnacentral:rRNA from 1 species